CUCAGGCAGUAGUGACCCUGGAUAAUGGAUGGCUGGGGAUCUACAUCACUGAAGGCAGUCUAACAAUGAGGUGUGAGCUUCAGGGAACCUCAGCCAACUGGAACUACAUAUGGUACAGAGACGGAGCACAGAUCUCACUAAACCAGACUGGGGAGAGGCACACAGUGGGAUUUUGGAAUGGCUCCUAUGAUGGUGAAUACAAAUGUCAAGGAAAAAGGACGGACAGAGCGUACUACUCUCUCAUCAGUGCAGGCUUCAUGACAACUAAUAUUCGGCUGUACUUUAUUGUGGGUGUUUCUGGUUCAGUCAUCAUUUUCAUAAGCCUGGUGGUGCUGGCAGUCAAAUGCUUUAAGAAAUACAGGAAAUCAGAAGUUCAAAUCAAAAAUCAGCUUGAUGGGGAGAAGUUUUACUCCAGGUUAAAUGGAUGUUACAUAAAUGCAGGUGAGAAUAGAUUGUUCUGUUCCUGUUACACUGCGGGCCAAGUGUUUGUUGAAUUAUUUUUUUCCUCUCUUCUCCAGAUCAUGGAUUACCAACUGCUGUGUAUGAGGAAAUACCCCUUACUACAGAAAUUGAAGGUUCUGAAGCAGUCAUCGGCCAGCAUGGUUUCUACUCAGCUGUUCCGUUAACACCAUUAAACCAAGGUCCUGUUCUAUAAGUGGACACGGGAAUCCAUAUUCACUCAGUCUUACCUUCAUAUGUGAGGGAAUAUACUAUAUCAUACUAUAUGUAUAUCCCACUAUGUCAUACUAUAUUUUUAGAUAGCUUAUAUAAUUUAAGGUCACCAUGUUGCCCAUUAAAUAAUGAUAUGCUGUUGCAUCACUCUAUUCAUUUCCUAUUCUGAAGCAGUCUCCAGAACUGACUUGAUGAUAAUGUAUUAAAUAAUUAAAGGUACAAAAGGUCGCUCCCACUGUA